AUUACCGCCCCCCACCCCCGCCACAUACACACACAAAAUCACAAAAAACAAAUAAAACUAAAACUUAAAAAAAUAAUGUGCCUAGAAGACAAUCAUCAGUGGGUGUAAAGUCAUUUGGUGAAAGGCUCAUGGAUCAGGCGUCAGACACCACUUAAGACACCUGGUCAAUCUGCCUCAGUAAAAACGGAACAGCCAAUCAUCGGUCAUGAUGGGAUGUCAUAACGGGCACACAGCACCGCCUAUGACAGCUGGGGGGCUGGAGGAGCGGGCACUGCUUUCUCCAAGGGAGGCUGAGCAGGAGGCGCCCAGGCGGAGUCGGCGUAUCAGGCACCGGUGAAUCGGGCCCAGAGAACGCCGGCUGGGGACCAGCUCUGGCCGCACGCCGGCAGCUGCGAGGAUGACCGAGGGCAGAGGGAGGAGGAAGGCCAAGCCGCGCGAGCUGUGAAGGGCCCAACGAGAAAAACUUCCACACGCAAUUUAAUAAGGUUUUGCUGAAUCCUUAAGUAAAGUUCAAGGCUGAGCAAACAGCCCAGCUAAAUUCAGCCCCUGACAGAGAAGAGCUUCUGGCAAAGCCAAGUGCCAUGCACAGCAACACCAAGGCAACAAAACCACCUGAUAAUCCCUCGAUUCCGGGUCCACACCUGGGAUACAGAUCCACCUGCAAGCAGGGUAGGAUUUAAAUGAACAAAACUCAGGACGGGCGCCCCAGGAUGUGCGGAGACGGGACAGGGCUGCAGGCAGCCUCGCUGUACUCAGGGGUGAGGUCUUCCAAGGAGAAAGGCGACAAG